CAGCCGCCGCGGUAAUACCAGCGCCACGAGUGGCAACCACGUUUAUUGGGCCUAAAGCGUCCGUAGCCGGUUUGGUAAAUCUCUUGUGAAAUCGACAGGCUUAACUUGUCGGCGUGCUUGAGACACUACCAAACUUGAGACCGGGAGGAGUCAGAGGUAUUUCUGAGGGAGCGGUAAAAUGUGAUAAUCUCAGAAGGAUCACCUAUGGCGAAGGCAUCUGACCAGAACGGAUCUGACGGUGAGGGACGAAGGCUAGGGGAGCGAUCCGGAUUAGAUACCCGAGUAGUCCUAGCAGUAAACGCUGCGAGCAAGAUGUUGCGUAUCUCACGAGGAUAUGCAGUGUCGAAAUGAAGAUGUUAAGCUCGCCGCCUGGGAAGUACGGUCGCAAGACUGAAACUUUAAGGAAUUGGCGGGGGCGCACCACCAGGGGUGCGGCGUGCGGUUUAAUCUAACUCAACACAGAGAACCUUACUAGAAGCGACGGCAGGAAGAAGGUCAGUCUGAAGGGCUUACCUGACGAGCCGAGAGGUAGUGCAUGGCCGCCGUCAGCUCGUGCCGUAAGGUGUCCAGUUAAGUCUGGCAACGAGCGAGACCUAUACCCUCUAUUGCUAGCGGCCACAUGUAGGACUGAGCACUUUGAGGGGACUGCCUUGGAAACAAGGAGGAAGGUGUAGGCAACGGUGGGUCUGUAUGCUCCGAAUCUUCUAGGCUACACGCGCGCAACAAUGGUAAUGACAAUGGGCUGCAACUCCGAAAGGAGAAGCUAAUCCUCCAAACAUUACCUCAGUUCGGAUCGCGGAUUGUAACUCAUCCGCGUGACGCCGGAAUCCCUAGUAAACAGACGUCAUCAACGUCCGUUGAAUAUGUCCCUGCCCCUUGCACAC
rnacentral:rRNA from 1 species